rnacentral:rRNA from 1 species
GGUGGGCGGCGUGCCAGAUACAUGCAAGUCGAGCGCGGGAAGCAGUAAAUUGUCCUUCGGGGCGGACGCUCGUGGAACGAGCGGCGGACGGGUGAGUAACACGUGGGCAACCUGCCUGUAAGACCGGAAUAACCCCGGGAAACCGGGGCUAAUGCCGGAUAACCCAACGGUUCUCCUGAACCGAUGGUAAAAGGAUGGCUUCUUGCUAUCGCUUACAGAUGGGCCCGCGGCGCAUUAGCUGGUUGGUGAGGUAACGGCUCACCAAGGCGACGAUGCGUAGCCGACCUGAGAGGGUGAUCGGCCACACUGGGACUGAGACACGGCCCAGACUCCUACGGGAGGCAGCAGUAGGGAAUCUUCCGCAAUGGACGAAAGUCUGACGGAGCAACGCCGCGUGAAUGAUGAAGGUCUUCGGAUCGUAAAAUUCUGUUGUGAGGGAAGAUC